rnacentral:rRNA from 1 species
UGGCUCAGAUUGAACGCUGGCGGCAGGCUUACCACAUGCAAGUCGAGCGGUAACAGAGAGUAGCUUGCUACUUUGCUGACGAGCGGCGGACGGGUGAGUAACGCGUAGAAAUCUGCCUGGUAGUGGGGGAUAGCCCAGAGAAAUUUGGAUUAAUACCGCAUACGCCCUACGGGGGAAAGCAGGGGACCUUCGGGCCUUGCGCUAUCAGAUGAGUCUGCGUCGGAUUAGCUUGUUGGUGAGGUAAUGGCUCACCAAGGCGACGAUCCGUAGCUGGUCUGAGAGGAUGAUCAGCCACACUGGGACUGAGACACGGCCCAGACUCCUACGGGAGGCAGCAGUGGGGAAUAUUGCACAAUGGGCGAAAGCCUGAUGCAGCCAUGCCGCGUGUGUGAAGAAGGCCUUAGGGUUGUAAAGCACUUUCAGCAGUGAGGAAAGGUUGUAGCUUAAUACGCUAUAGCUGUGACGUUAACUGCAGAAGAAGGACCGGCUAACUCCGUGCCAGCAGCC